GUCUAUGGCCAUGCCACCCUGAAUAUGCCCGAUCUCGGAAGCUAAGCAGGGUCAGGCCUGGUUAGUACUUGAAUGGGAGACCACCUAGGAAUACCAGGUGCUUGUAGGCU
rnacentral:rRNA from 1 species